rnacentral:rRNA from 1 species
GGGUUGGUAGAUUGGUCAUGCCACUGGUAUGUACUGGUCUUACUGACUCCUUCUUCCUGAUGAACCGUAACGCCAUUAAUUUGGUGUUGCGGGGAGACUGGACUGUUACUUUGAAAAAAUUAGGGUGUUUAAAGCAGGCUAACGCUUGAAUACAUUAGCAUGGAAUAAUGAAAUAGGACGUUCGAUCCUAUUUUGUUGGUUUCUAGGAUUGACGUA